rnacentral:rRNA from 1 species
GAUGAACGCUGGCGGCGUGCCUAAUACAUGCAAGUCGAGCGAAUGGAUUAAGAGCUUGCUCUUAUGAAGUUAGCGGCGGACGGGUGAGUAACACGUGGGUAACCUGCCCAUAAGACUGGGAUAACUCCGGGAAACCGGGGCUAAUACCGGAUAACAUUUUGAACCGCAUGGUUCGAAAUUGAAAGGCGGCUUCGGCUGUCACUUAUGGAUGGACCCGCGUCGCAUUAGCUAGUUGGUGAGGUAACGGCGCACCAAGGCAACAAUGCGUAGCCGACCUGAGAGGGUGAUCGGCCACACUGGGACUGAGACACGGCCCAGACUCCUACGGGAGGCAGCAGUAGGGAAUCUUCCGCAAUGGACGAAAGUCUGACGGAGCAACGCCGCGUGAGUGAUGAAGGCUUUCGGGUCGUAAAACUCUGUUGUUAGGGAAGAACAAGUGCUAGUUGAAUAAGCUGGCACCUUGACGGUACCUAACCAGAAAGCCACGGCUAACUACGUGCCAGCCGCCGCGGUAA